rnacentral:rRNA from 1 species
AGUGAACGCUGGCGGCAUGCCUAACACAUGCAAGUCGAACGGCAGCACGAUCUGUCUUUGUUGUUUCAUGGCGCGUGUCGCGCGCGUGAGUAAUACAUCUCGACGUCUCCUUUUUCGUGGGAUAUCUCGUCGAAAGAUUUACUCUUACAGCGUACACCCUGUUGGUGUUAGUGCGGGGGCGCUUCGCCUCUUGCUCUAUGUGCUGCCGCUGUCUGAUUAGCUAGUUUGUGGGGUAAAGGCUCACCCAGGCGACGAUCAGUAGCUGGUCUGAGAGGAUGUUCAGCCACACUGGAACUGAGACACGGCCAAGACUCCUAAGGGAGGCAGCAGUGGGGAAUGUUGGACAAUGGGCGAAAGCCUGAUCCAGCAAGGCCGAGUGUGUGAAGAAGGCCUUCGGGUUGUAAAGCACUUUUGUGGGGAAAGAAAAGCAUCAGGUUAAUACCUGGCGUGGAUGACGGUACCGGAAGAAUAAGCACCGGCUAACUACGUG